GACGUAGGGGGCCAGCGUUGUUCGGAAUUACUGGGUGUAAAGGGUUCGUAGGCGGUGCGGCAAGUUGGGAGUGAAAUCUCUGGGCUUAACCCAGAGGCUGCUUCCAAAACUGCUGUGCUUGAGUGUGGGAGAGGCGCGUGGAAUUGCAGGUGUAGCGGUGAAAUGCGUAGAGAUCGGGAGGAACACCAGUGGCGAAGGCGGCUCGCUGGGCCGGCCCUGACGCUGAGACGCGAAGGCGUGGGGAGCGAACGGG
rnacentral:rRNA from 1 species